GGGGGCGAAACGGCUUCGACGGGGAUGAUGAAGCGUCGACUGCAUACCGAGCGCCUGUCAGCUCGUAAAAAAGACGGGAAUUAAAUAUAAUCGCAGACGAUUAUAACUACGCCCUGGCCGCUUAAGCGGCCAGCGUCCCACCGGAUACAGCCUGCGGAUCCGAAUGGGGCGUCGACAAGCAGGCUAGCCGACCCCCGAUUCCUGAUACGAGGAAGGCGAAACGCGCUCAGGAUAGUCUUUCAGCCAUCUUGCCUGAUAGUGACCUGAAAGGCGAAACACCAAGUUCAGGCUAUGUAUGUAGACGUUGAUGUGGAUUAUUUCCGGACGCGGGUUCGACUCCCGCCGCCUCCACCA
rnacentral:tmRNA from 1 species